AGGGAGGCGGGCGAGAGGCUGGUGGAGAAGAUGGGCCUCUAUGCCACGGAGCAGGAGGUGAUGGACAUGCAGCCCUUCGUCAAGGAUGCGCUGGAGGAGCUGCGGAGGCAGCGCCCGGCGGCGGACGGGGAGCUGGUGCUGCAUGAGGACUUUGCCGAGUGCCGUGCCAGGCUGCAGGCGCUGACUGAUCGCAUCGAGGGGCUGCAAGGUGGCGCUCCCCAGCCGGUCCCCCAAAUGGAGGCGGCUCUGGAGAACAACCCGCAGGACGAGCCUCCACAGCACAGCAGCCAGGAUGUUGUGCCCACCUUCACCAUCAGCCUCGCUGAGAUGGGGGUGGGCACGGUGUCUCAAGCCACCACGCGGUCCAAGCGGUGCCAGCCUCACAUGGAGAGGAGCAGCCAGAUCUCACCCAAGCUGCUGAAGCUGGAGCGGGAUGGCGGUGAACCCAGCUCGAGCCAGUGGGAUGGCAGAGGGGGGCCCAGCACCUCCACACAGAGACACAACGGCCGCAUCCCCAACUCCAAGGCCAGCAGGAGCCGCACUCGGGAUGCAGAGGAUGGCAGCAUCAUCAUCAGCUCGGAGGACAGCGAGGAGGACACGGUGAUGAGCGGGACAUCGGACUUCACCUCUUGCUGAGCUGCAACCCUGUCUUCUCUGCUCUGGAAGGCAACAAAACCCCCCUAGGUUUGCCUGAAGAGCCCACAUGGCAGCAUCCCCAGGGGCAGAGGGACAGCUCUGGGCAUAGGGGACAGUUCAGGUUUGGGCUCUUAUCUGAGACAUUCACACAUAAAAGGAUGUGAGAGCCUGAAACUGUCCCCAGUAUCACCUUCCAGCAGUGCUUCAGCAGUUUCAGCAGGAGCAGGACUUCCUCUGAGAUAUGGAGGUGGAUAUGGAGGCUACUCACUUUUUAAACUUCUCUUCCUGUUUAAGCUUCAGGCUGUGCUCAGAUAACACAAAGCUCACACUGCUGCAGGGAGAGCUGUUCAAACUGUCGCUUGUAGCACUUCCUUCUAUAAGACAUGGAUGUCCGAGUCCCUCCACCACCCCAUUCUGAUAGAGAUUAUCAUGGAGCUCCCUGGGAAGAUUAUUCCUAGCUGAAAAAAAAAAAGAAAAAAGAAAAGAAAAGAAAAGAAAACACACAAAAAAAACCAGUUUUCUUAUGAAAUUCUUAUCUGCACGCUCCAGUGCUGCAGCCCAACAGCCAGGCAGAGGGCAGAGGCUGUGAGAUGGGAUCGCUGCUGGGAUGGCCCCACCAGCAGCAUCACUGCUGGCUGGCUGAGCAUCCGACAGCAUUUUUUGUAUCAACUCCUCAUGCAAAAGUUUCUUUGUAUUCAAUAAAGGCGUUUCCGGAUCAAAUCCCCCUUCUUUU
rnacentral:lncRNA from 1 species